rnacentral:rRNA from 1 species
CCCUUAGAUGUUCUGGGCUGCACGUGUGCUACAAUGGCGUUUCCAGCAAGUCUGCGAACCCGAGAGGGCCAGCGGAUCUUCGAAUUGGCGUCGUGAUCGGGACAGUCGAUUGCAAUUAUUUGACUCAAACGAGGAAUUCCUUGUAAUCGCGAUUCAUCAUAUCGCGCUGAAUACGUCCCUGCCCUUUGUACACACCGCCCGUCGCUCCUACCGAUUGAGCGAUCCGGUAAAUGUUUUGGAUUGGUGCCGGGGCGGCUAGCUGCCGGUCGCUACGAAAUUUUGUGAACCUUAUCGCUUAGAGGAAGGAAAAGUCGUAACA